AAAGAAUUAGUUAAUCUAAUAACAUAAAUAUGUCAAAUUUAAAUUAUUACUAUAUGUAAUAUUCUUUU
rnacentral:tRNA from 1 species